rnacentral:rRNA from 1 species
GCGAACGGGUGAGUAACACGUGAGUAACCUGCCCCCGACUCUGGGAUAAGCCCGGGAAACUGGGUCUAAUACCGGAUAUGACCUUUGACCGCAUGGUUGUUGGUGGAAAGAUUUAUCGGUGGGGGAUGGACUCGCGGCCUAUCAGCUUGUUGGUGAGGUAAUGGCUCACCAAGGCGACGACGGGUAGCCGGCCUGAGAGGGUGACCGGCCACACUGGGACUGAGACACGGCCCAGACUCCUACGGGAGGCAGCAGUGGGGAAUAUUGCACAAUGGGCGCAAGCCUGAUGCAGCGACGCCGCGUGAGGGAUGACGGCCUUCGGGUUGUAAACCUCUUUCAGUAGGGAAGAAGCGAAAGUGACGGUACCUGCAGAAGAAGCGCCGGCUAACUACGUGCCAGCAGCCGCGGUAAUACGUAGGGCGCAAGCGUUAUCCGGAUUUAUUGGGCGUAAAGAGCUCGUAGGCGGUUUGUCGCGUCUGCCGUGAAAGUCCGAGGCUCAACCUCGGAUCUGCGGUGGGUACGGGCAGACUAGAGUGAUGUAGGGGAGACUGGAAUUCCUGGUGUAGCGGUGAAAUGCGCAGAUAUCAGGAGGAACACCGAUGGCGAAGGCAGGUCUCUGGGCAUUUACUGACGCUGAGGAGCGAAAGCAUGGGGAGCGAACAGGAUUAGAUACCCUGGUAGUCCAUGCCGUAAACGUUGGGCACUAGGUGUGGGGGACAUUCCACGUUUUCCGCGCCGUAGCUAACGCAUUAAGUGCCCCGCCUGGGGAGUACGGCCGCAAGGCUAAAACUCAAAGGAAUU